rnacentral:rRNA from 1 species
CUGUCGUACUCUUCGUUGCAGUCUGCAUUCGAGCGGAUUGUUCCUUCGGGAACAGUUAGCGGCGGACGGGUGAGUAACACGUAGGCAACCUGCCUGCAGGAUCGGGAUAACUACCGGAAACGGUAGCUAAGACCGAAUACAAGACUUUGACGCCUGUCGGAGUUUGGAAACACGGAGCAAUCUGUGACCUGUAGAUGGGCCUGCGGCGCAUUAGCUAGUUGGUGAGGUAACGGCUCACCAAGGCGACGAUGCGUAGCCGACCUGAGAGGGUGAACGGCCACACUGGGACUGAGACACGGCCCAGACUCCUACGGGAGGCAGCAGUAGGGAAUCUUCCGCAAUGGACGCAAGUCUGACGGAGCAACGCCGCGUGAGUGAUGAAGGUUUUCGGAUCGUAAAGCUCUGUUGCCAGGGAAGAACAGCGAGGAGAGUAACUGCUCUUCGUGUGACGGUACCUGAGAAGAAAGCCCCGGCUAACUACGUGCCAGCAGCCGCGGUAAUACGUAGGGGGCAAGCGUUGUCCGGAAUUAUUGGGCGUAAAGCGCGCGCAGGCGGUCAUUUAAGUUUGGUGUUUAAUUCCGGGGCUCAACCCCGGGUCGCAUCAAAACUGGGUGACUGGAGUGCGGGAGAGAAAGUGGAUUUCCACGUGUACGGUGAAAUGCUAAGAUGUGGAGGAACACCAGUGGCGAACGCGACUUUCGGACGUACUGACGCUGAGCCCGAAACGUGGGGAG